rnacentral:lncRNA from 1 species
CUAGAUGAGGUCAGUUGGUGCGAGUAUAGGAAUUUUGUUGUUGUUACCCUUGCCGGAGUGAAGAGAGCUGUAAGAAAAAAGGCCACAAGUAAAAGGAGAAGCUGUUUCGUGAACCCGACUUGGUGUCCGUGUUGUUCCUGUCUCCGUUGGAGUGGAGAUGACCUGCGACAAGUGGUGGCCCGUACGGGGAACUCAUCAUGUCGGUCGGCAACGUUAAGGCUUUGAAUACUACAUUGGUGAGAAGAGAAGAGAAGAGAAGAGAAGAGAAGAGAAGAGAAGAGAAGAGAAGAGAAGAGAAGAGAAGAGACACUGCGCACAUUGUCUUAUUCCAGAGUGUGGAGGAGUGCUUUGUUUUCCCAUAGUGCUUCUGUUGGUCACAUUUAGCUGUGCAGC